AGAAGGGAGACCCCAGCAAGAGCCGCUGGAGGGAUGCCGUGGUGGGGCUGGACAGGGCCAGAUGCUCUCCCCCUGCUUAACCGAAAGGGCAUCACCGCUUUGCUGGGUGCCCCGUUGCUCAGUCCACAGGGGGACCUUGCCUCUCCAAGCAGACCGGGCUAAUCAUUACUUGACUUUUAUUUGAACAUCUGCGCCCUGCCUUUCUCCACAGGCCCCAAAGUGGCCAACCAAAACUAAAAUCCCAUAGAAAGCAAAAAGGUCAUUUCCCAAAGCGCCAUGAAAUGGGGCACACCCCACAUGCUGUGGGGGCAGAGCAGGCACUGGAAAACUACCACUAGAAGACAAACAACCCUGUUCAAAGCAGCCAUUGAGCAGCAACUGUUACCCAGCAACCAUCAAUGAUAGAACCCUGGCCCUGUUUGAGCAGGAAUAACUGUCCUUCUGGCCUUCCUCUUCCCUGGGGGUUACCAACCUCUCCUCCUGUGCCUUUCAAAGCAACCCAAGAAAAGUGUCAGGAGAUAAGGAUCAGAUGAGGAUCUGGGGCCCAAUUCUCAUUCAGCCUGAAGCUCCCUGGGGGGAAUUGGGGCCAAUCUCUUGCUAUCUACUGGCUUUUGGCCAAAGGCAUUCAAGACUCUACAGAAAUGGAAUGCGAGAACGCCUGACCUGAGAAAUUGACACAAGAUUGAGCGGAGGUGAAUGCACUGUUUAACGAGAAGAAGGCAGAUCACCAAAGACGGCGGGAGUCCUGUGAUGAGGUUGGGAGGUCGGGAGAAGCUAAGAAGAAGGAGAGAAGAGACUCUACAGUGGGAGAACCACUUUGGGAAGAGCAGGAUCAGCCCCUUUAUCAUUUCGGUUUGCCUCUUCUGCUGCAGCUUCUUCAGUUCGACAGUAUGGCUUUUUUG